rnacentral:rRNA from 1 species
AACAGGAUUAGAUACCCUGGUAGUCCACGCUGUAAACGAUGUCGACUUGGAGGUUGUGCCCUUGAGGCGUGGCUUCCGGAGCUAACGCGUUAAGUCGACCGCCUGGGGAGUACGGCCGCAAGGUUAAAACUCAAACGAAUUGACGGGGGCCCGCACAAGCGGUGGAGCAUGUGGUUUAAUUCGAUGCAACGCGAAGAACCUUACCUACUCUUGACAUCCACAGAACUUUCCAGAGAUGGAUUGGUGCCUUCGGGAACUGUGAGACAGGUGCUGCAUGGCUGUCGUCAGCUCGUGUUGUGAAAUGUUGGGUUAAGUCCCGCAACGAGCGCAACCCUUAUCCUUUGUUGCCAGCACGUAAUGGUGGGAACUCAAAGGAGACUGCCGGUGAUAAACCGGAGAAAGGUGGGGAUGACGUCAAGUCAUCAUGGCCCUUACGAGUAGGGCUACACACGUGCUACAAUGGCAUAUACAAAGAGAAGCGAACUCGCGAGAGCAAGCGGACCUCAUAAAGUAUGUCGUAGUCCGGAUCGGAGUCUGCAACUCGACUCCGUGAAGUCGGAAUCGCUAGUAAUCGUAGAUCAGAAUGCUACGGCGAAUACGUUCCCGGGCCUUGUACACACCGCCCGUCACACCAUGGGAGUGGGUUGCAAAAGAAGUAGGUAGCUUAACCUUCGGGAGGGCGCUUACCACUUUGUGAUUCAUGACUGGGGUGAAGUCGUAACAAGGUAACC